AAAUCCUGUGCAUUUAAAAACAUGAUGCUGAGGAGUUCAGAAGCCUAGCCGACUGCCAGAGGGCUAAUAACUCCCAUAUUAAACUUUGUGAAGAGCUUGAUUGGGAAGAAGAGAAUCCUUCAAGUUAUUCCACGCCAAGAGGGCCUGCAGAAUUGCCUAAGAACAGAUCUGGCCACAUUCAUUCCUUGCCUCUGGGGCUCCAGGCACUGGACUUUAGCACAUUUCUGCAGCUGAAACAUUGACUGAGGCGUUGGCAUGAAGAAAUUCAAUUUCUGUCUGCCCAAGAGUCCCAUACCAGCAGACCUGUUACAGAUGAUUCUGACAGCUCCCUACAAACAGGAAAAGUCUCAUCACUUCCAUUCAAUGAUGUUAUAGUCACAUUACAAGUCUGUGACUGGAGCUGGGAACAGCAUUUCUCAACCUCGGCAUUAUUGACAGUUGGGGCUGGAUGAGCCUUUGUUGUGGGGGUGUGUCCUGUGUGUUACAGGGCUGUAGCAGCCCCCCCUCACCUCUACCCUCUAGAGGCCAAUAACCCCCAUCCCGUCAUAGUUAAUUUUGUGCUUCUGCCUGGGGCACUGUGCCCAGCUCUGCUCUCAGAUGUUAUUCUGGUUGUUUCUGUGUGGGUCCUUUGGAUGAGAUAACAUUUAUUAUUUUUCCUGUUAUUUAUUAUUAUAUAUAUAUAUAUAUUUUUAAUUUAUUCAUUGCUUGUGCCAGGUCUUAGUUGCAGCAUGUGGGAUCUUUAGGUGCGCCUUCUAACUCUAGUUGCAGCAUGUGGGAUCUAGUUCCCCCACCAGGGAUCGGACAUGGGUACCCUGCCUUGGGAGCGUGGAGUAUUAGCCACUAGACCACCAGGGAAGCCCCGAUUUUUUAUUAUGUUAUAUAAACAUAUUUAAUAUUUGUAUAUACUAAUAAAAAUAAUGUAAUGUUAAGUAAGUGUAAUAUU
rnacentral:lncRNA from 1 species